rnacentral:lncRNA from 1 species
GAGGGGCUUUGCCCCGCGUCCGUGACGCUUAGUUUUUAGAGAAUAACGAUUGUUUCGUAUAAUUUAAUAUUAUAUCAGAGCAGAAAAUUCUGAGUUCGAGCCACACCAGCCUCCUAACAUUAUUAAUUUCCUUCCAUUUCAAGUCCACGUCAUAGGCCAGCGAAAAGCUUCGAGUCCGAACUUUUCUUCAGCUUUUAGGCCCCGUUUGGUUCGGGGGAUGAGCGGGGAUAACGAAAGUUAUCCUCGCUAUUCCGCCAAACAAGAUGAAUUUUGGCAAGAAUAUUUUAUCCCAGUCAAGGCUUGCUAUUCCCGACUAUUCCGAAAUAGUUUGAGAUUUGCUAUUCCACGCUAUUCCAAUGCUUAAUUUCAAACUUAAUUAAAAUUAUAAAUUUAAUUAAAACUAAAUUAUAUAAAUAUAAUAUGUUAUAUACUAUAAAACAUUAUUUUUAUUAUAAAAUUAUUAAUUGUACUAUAUUAAUACAUAUUAUUUAUAUUUAAAUAUUAUAAUAAAUUAUAUUUAAAUAUUAAAAUAAAUUAAAAUUUAAAAUUUAAANC